ensembl:lncRNA
UCACAAUAAUAGAUGGGUGUUGGUUAAAUGGUAGGUCCCGGUAGUCACAACAAUAGAUGGGUGUAGGUUUAAUGGUAGGUCCCGGUAGUCACAACAAUAGAUGGGUGUUGGUUAAAUGGUAGGUCCCGGUAGUCACAACAAUAGAUGGGUGUUGGUUAAAUGGUAGGUCCCGGUAGUCACAACAAUAGAUGGGUGUUGGUUAAAUGGUAGGUCCCGGUAGUCACAACAAUAGAUGGGUGUUGGUUAAAUGGUAGGUCCCGGUAGUCACAACAAUAGAUGGGUGUUGGUUAAAUGGUAGGUCCCGGUAGUCACAACAAUAGAUGGGGUGUUGGUUAAAUGGUAGGUCCCGGUAGUCACAACAAUAGAUUGGGUGUUGGUUAAAUGGUAGGUCCUGGUAGUCACAACAAUAGAUGGGGUGUUGGUUAAAUGGUAGGUCCUGGUAGUCACAACAAUAGAUGGGGUGUUGGUUAAAUGGUAGGUCCCGGUAGUCACAUUAAUAGAUGGGGUGUUGGUUAAAUUGUGAUUUUAAUGAAUGGAGAGAAUUUGGAGCCCAGUUUUUUUUUCUCCUGUGAGUGCAGAGCGGUUCGAAAGGUCAUGGAAGACCCUCUCUGCUGUGAGCGGGAUUUUCAACUGCUAAACUCUGUUCAUAUGGUCUGCCCUCCGCUGAGACUGACCAUCACAUGGAGGCACCAUCAGCCCAGUAAAAUCAAAAGCAAAUUAUUUGAAUGUGUGCUCACUCAGCUGUGCCUCACAAGUAAUACAACAACAGAUCUAUUACCGAUGUGAUCAUAUAGCCCAUCUCAAAUAUUGAA